rnacentral:lncRNA from 1 species
CGGUGCCAGACGGGCGACUGCGGCGGCGUGCUGUCAUGCACGGCGUACGGCAGCCCGCCCAACACCCUGGCGGAGUUCGCGCUCAACCAGUUCAACAACCUCGACUUCUUCGACAUCUCCCUGGUCGACGGCUUCAACGUGCCAAUGGACUUCAGCCCCACGUCAGGCGGCUGCCGCGGCAUCCGGUGCGCGGCGGACAUCAACGGGCAGUGCCCCGGGGCGCUGAAGGCGCCGGGCGGCUGCAACAACCCCUGCACCGUGUUCAAGACGGACCAGUACUGUUGCAACUCCGGCAGCUGCAGCCCGACCGACUACUCCCGGUUCUUCAAGAGAAACUGCCCCGACGCCUACAGCUAUCCCAAGGACGAUCAGACGAGCACCUUCACCUGCCCCGGCGGCACCAACUACAGGGUUGUCUUCUGCCCUUGAGAUCACUGACGCCACUAAUAAGCCGCCCUCGUGCAGGCAACCACGCAUAUAGAUAUAUAUACUAGUCUCCUACAAUACAAAUAAGAUGUCAAGAGUGAUGGAAGGUAUUAGCCUUCUCUUGGGCUAAUACUGUUGACUGAUGUAAUAGAAGUGGUGCAACCAACUAAUAAGAUGCAUAAUAUCAUCACAGCAUGAGUGCUUUUCCAUUGAUGUUUGAAUCAUUUUGUGAGAGCAAUCAGCUUAUGCAAUCAGCAAAAAGAAUAAUUAAACCAUUUCUAUUUAUGUCUUGUUGGCUUAAAACAUGAAUUGAUUUUGAAACAUAAUGAACCCUACAUAUAUAACUUCAUAAAAGAUAUCUCAAGGACCAUACAUUAUACAUACAUAUAUACAUAUAUAUACAUAUAUAUACACAUAUAUAUAUACAUAUAUAUACACAUAUAUAUACAUAUAUAUAUAUAUACAUAUACAUAUAUAUAUAUAUAUNNNNNNNNNNNNNNNNNNNNUAUGUAUAUAUAUAUAUGUAUAUAUAUAUAUAUCAUUUAGGAUGAUGAGUCAUCGCCUAUCCAAUUUGGACCUCUGCCAUUCUCCGUAGAAACUUUGCGUAGCCAUUUUCCAAUACAAUUGCGCGUUGACCAGAGUGCGUCCAUGUGAUCCUCCCCGGUAAGUUUGGUGCCCGAAAUUAUCCGGCAAGUAUGGCUUUAAAUAUUGGAAUUAGUUGCUCUUUGUUUUACGUAGGCCGAUCAAGAUGAACAGAGAGAAUGAUGCUGACUAAUUGAGCCCUGACCAAUCGAGGGCUUCAGGACUCGAGCCCCGACGCGCCCUCGGGAAGCUGCCGCGGGAGGCGGACAUCGAUGGGCAGUGCCCGCAGGUGUUGAGGGCGCCGCGGCGGGUGCACCGCUCGACCGUGUCCAAGGCGGACCGGUACUGCUGCAGCUCCUGCAACUGUGCGUCAAGCGGCUACUUCAGCUUCUUGAGGAGGAACUGCACCGAUGGCUAUAUCUUCCCACAACCUUACGGCCUGGCUUCCACCACUAGUUUCUACGGUAGUCUUCCUCCUCCAAGAGUCGAAUUCAGCUUCCUACAAGAUUAUAAUGAUGGUUUGUAUCAAUUAGUUGUUAAAUUGUAUUUUGGAACCUAAUACAUAUUUUAAAUAUAAAUUCAUAUUUAAAGUUUCUUUAACAUCACAUUUGUCAUGAAUAUAGUGUCAGUAAAUGCUUAAAUUCUGAAACUAUCUUAGAAUAAUUAUAACAUCUCGAGUAAUCUCACAUAAAAAAUGAAUAAGAUUAAAAUUAACUUAUGAUAGUAUAUUACUAUCAAUAUUAAUUUGAAUAUUUUGAUUGCUUGGAUUCAAGAAAAUUGAUAAGUCAAUUAGUUAAUCAAUUGUGACAUUCGAUAUCAAAUUAGUAUUAGGAUAUAGUAUAAUCAAAUUACUAUUAGCGUAUCGUGAGUGAGCUUCGUACUCGUUCAUUGUGAAGUCAUCUUGGGCUAUGUCUUACAUGCCGCGCUAUAUUGAGUCUUUGACAAUGAUUAAUUUUUUUUUUAUAGUUCACACAUAAAAAUAGAUUUUGAACUAUUUAAUUUUAAAAAUCAUAUUAUUUAUUAUAAAAUAUAUUUAUUAAAAUUUAAUUAACUAAUAAAAUUAUUAACUUAUUCACAUAAUUAAGAAAAUCAAUUUUAAUCAUUUUCUUAGCCAUACUAUACAAACAAAAUCACAAUGUAUAUAUUUUUCUUAAAUUUUUAUCUUAAAUGCAUGUUGCUAAUUAUAAUACUUGAUUUAUAUUUAGAUUUAUAUGAUAGUUGAUUAAAAAUAUUAUUUCUUCUCUUAUGUAAUUUUAUCUUUUUAAUAAUCUAUUGUUUAUUAUAUUUUAAUGACUCAAUGCUUGGGAUUAGAUGUUUUUUACUAUAAUUUCAUAAUGCUAUAAUUUAGAAUUGAAGAAAUUGAUUAGGAUUUGGGUUAUAUCUCACACGUACAAUCUUAGAGUUUGAGUUGGGUUUUAAUAAGGAUCAUUUAUUUUUUAUAUAAUAUUUAUUUCCUAUGAUUCACACAUAAAAAUAAAAUUUAAAUUAUUUACUUUCUAAAAAUUGCAUCACUCGUUGAGAAACGAAUCAAUUAAUAAUUUAAUUAAUUUAGUAAUCAUAUUACAUAAAUAAAAUCAUAAUGUGUAGUAUUUUAAAAUUUUUUAUCUUACAUGCAUGAUGCACGAUGAUAAUUAUAAUCCUUGGUUUCUAUUAUAUUUAUAUAGUAAUUUAUUAAAAAUAUUAUUUUCUCACUAAUGUAAUUUUAUUUUAAAAUUUAUUACUAUUUAUUAUGUUUUUAAUGACUCAAUACUAAUGAUCAGAUAUUCUAAUUAGUAGUCAUAUUAGUAAUCAUUAAGAAAUUUAAUUUAAAUUAUUUCAGUAAUAAUAUUACAUAAAUAAAAUCAUAAUGUGUAGUAUUUUUAAAAUUGUUAUCUUACAUGCAUGAUGCAUGAUGAUAAUUAUAAUACUUGGUUUCUAUUAGAUUUAUAUAAUAAUUUAUUAAAAUAUUAUUUUCUCACUUAUGUAAUUUUAGUUUUAAAAUUUAUUACUAUUUAUUAUGUUUUUAGUGACUCAAUACUAAUGAUCAGAUAUUCUAAUUAUAUUUUUUAUAUUUUAAAAUUAAGAGAAUUGAUUAAGAUUUAAGUUGAAAUCAACAAACAAUUAGAGCUAACCCAUAGGCUAGCCACAACUCGUAGAUUAAGCUCAGCAAGCAAGUCAACCCAUAGCCUAUAGGACUCCAAUAUGAUCAGUUAUGUAAUGUACAGACCAAGUCAGAUUUCAUAAACUUAGAUAGAUUCAAGGUAAUUCUAAACUUAUUUAGUCUAUUCAUGUCUAUCUAAUCUAAAUCGAACUCAAUCUAGUCCAAAGUAUACAAGUCUAAGAUGAUUCUAGACUGAUUAAAUGAGAAUUAAAAAUCGAUUUUAUUAUACUAGAGUUAAAUCGAGUUCAAUUGAUUUUAAUUAAACUCGUUUAGAUCGAUUAAGUUCUAGUUAAAUCAGGUUCAAUUAGACCGAUUGAGUUAAGUUAGAUAAAACCUAGGGAUAUGAGUUAUAAAUAAUAUUCAUCAAAUUUCUUCAAUCUAAUUUAUGCUAAAAUAGUUCAAUAAUAAAAAAUAAUAACUGCAAUAAUUAUUGAAUGUUAAUCAGUAUAAUGAAAAAUUCAUAUAAUAACUAUAAUUAUGAUAAGUCAUGAAUUAUAUUUUUAUAUAAUUUUCAAACAUAUUAUAUAAAUAAUCAAAUAAAUAUCCAAGAAAAAUAAUUAGAUUUUUAUUUAUCACAUGCAAAAUUUUAUCAAUAUGACAAAUAAGAAAAUUAUUAAAGAAAAAUCAUAAUUUAUAUUUUUAAAAUUUUGUAUGAACCCUUAUACCAAUCAACCCUAUUUAAUUAGGUAAGCCCAUAAUUGGACUACCUAAAUUGGGCUAACAAUUUGCCUAAUUAGACCCAUUAAGAUUAAAGUUGAUCAAAAUAAAAAAAAGAUCAAAAAUAACUUUUUUUUAAUUUGAUCAAAAACUUAAUUGGUCGAAUUUAAAUCCAACCAAAUAGUUAAAAUAUAGUAAUGAUUAAGCUCGUUUAAAAGAUUUGAUUAAAAUAAAUCAAAUUAAUAAAUUUUAUAAUUGAGGGCAUAUCUCAAAAUAUUUUAAUUCAAAAGGGUAAAACUAUAAUUUUACUGGGAUAUGUAGAGAAAAUAUCUAAUUUCUGAAGAAUAUAAUUAUCAAAAGGACACAAGUUGAAAUUAAAAGACUUUAUAAGAAUAAAUUUAUAAUUUUAAAAAUAAAUCCUAAUCUUUCACCCAGAAAGGCUCUCUCGCAUUUGUCAUUGGUUCCACCAUGCCCACACGCAAAAGUCAACACCGCAGUGUUCGCCCACCACCUGCAUGGACAACGAGGCAGUUGUCCUUAUGCAUUCAAACGAUAACCUCAUCGGUCGUCGCGUUGUGCCAUGCUCAUGAGUGGCUAUUAUCAUCGUGCGCUUGACUAUAACACUUCAAAAACAAUAUGUAUGUCACUGACCGGAAGCUAUCGCGUAGUUACGCACACAUGCCGAUCGAUAACCCCCAGAAUCACUUUGAUGUGUGACUGUGCUCGCUUGUCUUGCUACAUAGUCGUUGGGAACAAUGGCUUUCAGUGUCCAAUCGAUGUUGACCAUGGCCAACAAGCACUACCACAGUGGUAUUACUGUAACCAUUGUACGUAGUGAAGCUAUAUAGCCACUAUAGGUGCAUGCGCACAUAGUGGCACUGUUACAAUCAUCGCACUUAGUAUUAUACCCCAUGGUGCUUCCAUUAGGUACGCAAUUGCUACUCGCGAUUGAACUAAUGACAAUCAAAAGUUGUCGCUCUUAACCAUAUUGUUAUCGACAAUAAGCUAGUCACAGUGAUCCAUUGAUCAAGUACGAGAAAAUUCAUAUCUCCCACAAAUAGGUGAUAAGAUCGAUUAAAUAGAAAAAUAGAUCAAUAAUAUAUAUGAAUCAUUCAUACAUCGUAAAUAAAAAAUUGAAUAACACUUUUUCAUAAGCCAAAGAUGCUAACAAAUAUAUCUAAAAUAAUUUAUUUUACAAACAUGACUCUGAUAUCAAUUGUAAGUAUAAAAACCAUCCUUAUGCUAUUGUUAUGCAGAAAACUUUAACACCAAAAUCUAAAAUCAAAUAAUAAUAGAUAAGAUUCAUGAUACGUACAUUUUGAUGCUAGUUAAAAAAGCUCUUAUAUGAUCUAUAGGUACACCAUCGUUGGAUCUGAAAGUUAUAGUAAUAUCGAUCUAUAAGAAGAAUUAGACUCAUCGUUUUCUCAUUUUCUAUCCUUUAUAGGACCACUACAAUGGAUUUAGAGACUAAGGGGAGAUGAGAGAAGAUUUAUAAUUUCUCACUGACUUAUUCACAAAAAUUUAUAAUUUUUUAAUAAUAUUUUGUAAACACGUAUCGUUUUUAUCUUCUUAUAGUAUUUCUAGGUGAGAAUAGAAAAUCUAUGAUAAGUAAUGAAUAGGGUCUUUCUAAUCAAAAUCUAUCUCUUAACGAAUUUUAUGAUAAUUUAAUUUUUUAUCAAUCUAUAAUCAUAAUUAAAAUUUAAUCAUAUCUAUAAUAUAUCUUAAAUAAAUAAUUAGUGAUAUAUAAUCUGACACCUCUCUCUUCUCUCCCUUAUAAAUUCCCCACCUCUCCACCCCUCGGAUCUGCACAACACAGAGCACGAAGCCUAAGACUCGCCGUUAGAUGGCUUCGUCAAGCAUUCUCUCCCUCUCCUUCUUCUCCCUUCUUGUCACCCUCUCCCAUGCCGCCAACUUCGAGAUCGUGAACCGAUGCUCUUACACAGUGUGGGCCGCGGCCGUGCCCGGCGGCGGACGCCAGCUCAACCAGGGGCAGUCGUGGACCAUCAACGUGAAAGCGGGAACGACCGGCGGCCGCAUCUGGGGCCGCACAGGCUGCUCCUUCGACGGGAGCGGCCACGGGCGGUGCCAGACGGGCGACUGCGGCGGGUUGCUGGCGUGCACGGCGUACGGUAGCCCGCCCAACACCCUGGCGGAGUUCGCGCUCAACCAGUACAGCAACCAAGACUACGUGGACAUCUCCCUGGUCGACGGCUUCAACGUGCCUAUGGACUUCAGCCCCACGUCGGGCGGCUGCCGCGGCAUGCGGUGCACGGCGGACAUCAACAAGAAGUGCCCCACGGCACUGAAGGCGCCGGGCGGCUGCAACAACCCCUGCACCGUGUUCAAGACGGACCAGUACUGCUGCAACUCCGGCAGCUGCCAGCCGACCGAGUACUCCAAGUUCUUCAAGAGCAACUGCCCCGACGCCUACAGCUAUCCGAAGGACGAUCCGACGAGCCUCGUCGCCUGCCCCGGCGGCACCAACUACAGGGUUGUCUUCUGCCCUUGAGAUCACCGACGCCACUAAUAAGC